ACAAGAAUGGGAUCGUCGGUCUACCGAGCAAUAUCACCCGUUCGGUGGAAGAUCUUCGUUAAACCUU
rnacentral:pre_miRNA from 1 species